rfam:Medicago truncatula strain A17 chromosome 7, whole genome shotgun sequence.
CUCAUAAGUAAUAAAAUGUCCGUUUAGGUCCCUUAACUUUAUUUAAAGUGUCAGUUUGGUCCUUUCUGUUAAUUUAAUUCAAAAAAACGUUAAGUUUAUGGACCAAACUAAUACUAAUUAAAAAAGUUAAGGGACCAAACUAAUACUAAUUAAAUAAGUUAAGGGACCAAAAUUUAACUUCUUUUUUUGCAUUAAAUUAACAUAAGGGAUCAAACCGAUACUUGAAAUAAAGUUAAGGGACCAAAAUAAACCUUUUAUUACUUAUGAGA